GCGGCGGGAGCUGGAGCCCGGGCUGUGCCGCCGCCCGGAGGGCGCUUUAGAGCCGGAAGCGCCGCGCCGGGGCGAGCGGAAAAGAAAGCGGCAGCAGCGAGUGAAGGCCUGCCCCUCCCCUGCCGAGCGGCGGGCGCAUUUUCCGGUGGAACGCUUUUCAGCGGAAAGUUUCCCACCGGCUCUGCUCUGAAGUUCCUCACAGCCGUCUCUGUUUUUGACUGACUCAAAUGGCUGUAUGUCAUCAACAAGGUGGCAGCUGUCAAAUAUUUGGGCAGUGUCAGACAGUGCUGGAGGAUGCUUGAAAGACGUGGAUACUUGUAUAGCAGCAGCUGCUGCCAUGAUUUGGACCCUUCAGGGACCCUCUCUGGGACGUUGUGACCUACACCUUGCUACGAAGCCACGGAUCUAUAGAAUCACGGUUAUACCAACUUGGUUGUAUGUAAAGGAAAUAUCAGUGCUGAGGAAGGCUGAAGAAUAUGAUUGACGUUUUCGAUUCCUGUCCUUUCCGUCAGCUGCUCCAUAUAAAGUGUCAGGACAAAAUCAGGUCUGGGGAUAUUCGAAGCCAGACCCAGCAAGCACCUCCAUCAGAGGUUCAGUUUUGGUGGCUAACAAUAUGAGCAAGCUACUAAAGCAUUCUUCUGUUAAAGGGCUAAUUGCACAGGGAGAUUUAAAGGGACAAACAUAGAAGAGGUGAUGAGGAGAAAAAAAUCCUCCUCCCAUAAUCACGUACACGUGUGACUGAAAGCCUGGCAAGCAGAGCUUUGAAGAAAAUCAUUGUAGCAUAUCUUAUAAGGGUGCCCCAAAAAAGACCAGAGGGGUGAAAGGAGCAUCCUCAAACAUAGUUCCACUCCUCCCCAUCCUCCAUCCAAAUCGUCCCUUUGCCCCAAUUGUUCUCAACUCCAGCAUCAUCUUUCACCUUGUACUCUCAUUCUCCUCCCACAACUGCUCAGUCUGUAAAUCUUCCUGUCACCACCUGUGCUGUGAAUGCCAAUGCCUUGACCCUCCCUCUGUUCAUCUAGGCCACAAUCUCCUCUCACCUUGGAGUGCUGCAGGCCCUUCACUCUCUAGACUCUCAGUGCAGAACGCUGCUCUACGUAUUCUCACCCAUACAAAGGGGUCUGACUGCUUCAAGCCCAUCCUUAACCAUCUUAGCCGGCUCCCUGUUCAUUUUGGGAACCAGUUCCAAAUUGUUACCUGGGCCUUUACAUUUUUGAUUAGUCUUAGCUCCUAGGCCUCAUCUCUCGCUCUUCCCAUUCUCUAUGGCCACCCAGCACCCACCUUCUUGCUCUCACUACACAAAAUCUCCACACUGCUGGUAGAAGAAUCUCCUUGGUGCCGUUUCCGUUGUUUGGGACUGCAUUCCUGUAUAUGGCACCUUUCUACCUUAUUGACUGUUCUUUCAAAAAUCAUCUGGACUUUAUUAUUUGUAUUUGGGUAACGCUUAGAGGCCACAACCAAGAUUGGAGCCCCAAUUGGUUGAGCACCAUACAGAGAGUCUACACAGCAACUAGGAAUGUAAUUUCUAGUCAGGUAGAUGUACAUGCCCUCACUUUGAUUAAGCUAGCAUGCUAAAAAAAGCAGUGUAGCCACACCAGCAUGGGCAGUGGCUCAGGCUAGCCACCUGACUACAAUCCCAACUGAGUUCCUAGGGAUGUCCUUGGGCGGUUAGCCUCCACCACCACCCAUGUUGCUGCUGCUGCUGCUACUAUUUUUCUCAUGUUAGCUUGAUCAAAGUUAGUGUGUACACAUAGAUUCAUGCUGUACCUUACAUCUCCAGCUACAGUUCAGAGGUACCCAUAGUAAGAGAUGGCCCCAUCCACAAAGACUUUUGUCUAAAUAUACAUGGUGGCAGAUGGAAGCGUUAUUAUCCUCAUUUUACAAAUGGGGAAUUGCAGCAUAGAGAAAUUAAAUGAUUUGCUUAAGGGCACACAGGGAAGUCUGUGGCAGAUGCCAGAAUUGAACCUAUAUUUCCUGAGUCCCCGUCCAGUGUCUUGACUGCAAGGCUACCCUGCCUCUCAAGGAAAAAAAAAUCUCCUUAGCCUGUGCGUCUUAAUUUCCCUUUCAUUUCAUUAAUUGGUUUGUGAAUAGUCAAAUAUCUUCAAUGUUCUUUUAACCAUAGUUUUCUGUAAUUACCAUCGUAUAUUCUCUGCUGCCCUCUAACUGAUUCUGGAAAGAGGUUUGUAUGAAAAUCAUUGUAUACAGUUGUACUGUGCUCUCUUUUUUAGUCUAUUCCCAUGAGGAUGGAUUAAUUUAAAUGCCCUAUAUCUCAGUUACUUUAAUCCAUUUAUUUGAAGAUGGGCCAAACUGCUCAAUUCUAGGAUCCCUUGCAAAAAUAAAAGGAUUUUUUCAUAGGCAAUCUCUCCAUAGGAUCAUUUCCCUCUGCAUCUAUGUCUAGUGGCUGCUGUGAGUUGAAACAAUUCUAAAUCUUACUCUGGUAGAACUCCACUAUUUGAUGCUAGUGUUCUGAGUCUCUGUAAGUGUUUUUAAUUGCUCAGAAAAAAUAAUGCCAAAACUGAACCAACUGCCAGUGUUUCCAGGGGUCUGAUUGCAUUCACAAAUCUUGUAAUCUUUUUAUGUUCAUUCUGAGAAUACUACAAAAAAGGCAAUCAGAACUUGGCCAGCAAAUUAAGUGCUUAUUCAAAGAUUAAUUCACAUCAUCUGUACUCCAUUAGAUGUUCUCUUUUGCCAGGGAAUAUAAUGCAAUAUCUUCAGGGGGGAAUAAUUCCUGCUGUUGCCAAGUGCUUUCAAUUUACUGGCUCUUACUGCACUGACACAGGAAUCACAGGACCAUGGGCACAGCUAAAUCAGAUAUUGUGGCAACGUAUGGGAUGAGACAUAUGGAGCAAAUCUGUUUCAUUCCAGUGCUAAAAGAGUAUCGAUGACAAGUUUGCAAUGCAGCCAACUGACAUAGGGAAGGCAAUCCCACCGAUCAUUAAAAACAUAGCCCCCAUUAUACUAUGAGAGGAACAGAAUUUGUUUAAAUGUUAAUAGCUGGAUUUUUCAUUUGAAAUGUCAGAGAGAUGGCUCAGGUAGCUAGUGAUAUUUGAUCUCUCAAUUUUUAGGUGCCCAGCUUGAGACACCUCAAAGGGGCUUGAUCUUCCAAGUGUGGGUGCUCAGUACUUUCUCAAAAAACAGGUUUCCCUAUGGAGAGCACCAAAAAGAAAAAAAGGCUCCCAGAAUCAGAAAUCGCUGCUGAAAAUUAUAGCCAUGGUUUCCAUUGGAAUACAAUGGUCAUGGAUUAUAAACCAUCUUCUGAGGGUUUGUCUACACAGCCCCCAGCAGCGAGUCUCAGAGCCCGGUCAGCAGACUCAGACUCACGCUACGGCACUAAAAACAGCAGUGUAGAUGUUGUGGCUCGGGCUGGAGCUCAGGCUCCGAAGCCUAGGGAAGGAAGUGGGCUUCAGAGCCCAAACCCCAAUGUCUACACAGCCAUUAUUAGUGCCAUAGCAUGAGGCCUGCAAGCCCAGGUCUGUUGACCCAGGCUCUGAGAUUCACUGCUUGAAGCUGCCGUUCACUGUGUAGACAUAUCCAAUGUCUACCCUGUUUCUAAACCUCAGGCUGUUCAAAUGCUUUUGUGUAAGGUAGGGAACAAACAUCAACUAAGCCUAGAGCUCUUAACCUACAUGAUAGCAGCGAAGGACCUAUUGGGGUAAUACCAUGGAACUACAUACUCACUGCUCCUCCACACAGCGUACUUAAGAAUUACCAUGCAGAGUUCUGCCAAGUGUUGUUCAAUAGCCAUGUGAAGUAGGACCACUGGUAAUUAUGGCCUAGAGCAGCACCAGGAUGUUGGUGAGACACAACUGUGUAGCUUACAUCCCUGUUGUGGAGGCAUCGCCUGAUUGAUGUUGAUCACUAAAUGGAUCCUGAGGCAAAGCAGGAGUGUUUGGUGUCGGGUAAAAGUCUCCUUAGAAAGAAGCUCUCUCCCACUUCAUGUCUUUGCUUAUAGAGGAGACUCAUAAGAUAAGAAUCCGAGACACACUCUUGACACGCUCUUUCCAUAAAGAGUCACAUGUUGGAUGUGGUCCAAAGGCUCUUCCAGUCACAGUUUGUGCUGGCCAUCUGCUUAUCCAUUCCACAGCACUCUUGAAACACAUGCCCUCAUGACCAUAAGGCUUGGUUACAGAAUCCCCUCUGAGCGGAGCUGUCAGUUGAGAUCCUCCUAUUGCUCACAGAUUGUUCAGAAGGAAGCAGCACAUUUACUCACUGGCUUGAGCAUCAAUAAGUAUAUGGCACUCUGGGGUCAGAAGAAGGAGUGCAAUUCCCCCUCCUUUCCCUGGCUUAGGGAUGCAGCACAUCCCCACAGUGCUCCCUCUUCCUUGGCGGAUGCAAUGAGAACUCCGCCUCCUGUUUCAAUCUAUCUUAACACCAGCUCACACCCACCUUUACAUCAGCAGCCUAUAAAAAGGCAUAUGGACUUUAAGAUGAUGCUGUUGGGUUUUUAGACUAUGUUUGGUCAGUUGCCUGCCAUUGUGCAUCCCUCACCCCUCUGGCCUUUCUGGAUUUAUCAAAUCAAUUAAGUCUCAGGGAGAUCUAGGCAGGCCAUUUUAGCUAGGCUUAAACCUCCCAUAGUACUGUCUAGGUCAUUUUUUUGUGCCAGACUCUCAGAGAGACCCCAUAGCUGGAAAUAUCCAUGGAUAUAUCAUCUGGCUGCAUCUAGGGCUCCUCUCCCUCACAGAGGAACAACAACUGAAGAGAUGUAGGUUGAUGGGUAUACAGCACCCCAGGUUUGAUCUAGGUAGGUCUUGAUAACAGACCAUAUACUUUUUUCCAGAUGUGCCUCUGCAUCUACUGUGUUUAAAAAUACGAAUGUACGGGUAUCUCAUGAAGCUUUCUUAAAGUUACAUUCUUUUUAGUCUAAAGUAAUUUUAAUGACUGGAUCACCAUGGACUGUAGAUGCCAUAUUGUCUGUAUUAAAGUGUAUUCGUAUUUGAAUGAAUAACAUACCAGCGCAGUCAUUUUCUCCAAGGCCCAGAUCCAAUGCCCAUUGAAGUCAGUGGGAAUCUUUCUGUUGACUUUAGUGGGUGCUGGAAUAGGGCCCAAUGGCACGUGGCUCGAUAUGGAAGUCCGAAUGCUACAUGUUUUGAAGUAGCCAUUUAAAAUGGGUUUCCCUGAAGGGCAGAGUGAAGCAACAGUAGAUUGUUUAUGCCCUGGAGGAGCCAUGCAAGGGGGAGUUCUGUGCUCCAUAGUGAGACUUUUAGAUAUGGAAGUAAAUAUUAGAAUUGUUACCAAAAUAAUAUUGUGGAAAAACCUAUGCUCUGCCUGACAUUUAGAAAACGAAUCCCUUCUUUCAGUACAAAAUGCCGACUUCUCCCAAUAGCUACUCCGAACCAAGGGGGAAAUUUGAAUUACCCUCUAAUGAGAUUUUAUUUUUAUUAUUAUUAUUAUUAUGCCCCAUAAAUAUCAAGGUUUUUUAUUUUUUUAUUCCCAAGCUCUUCCCUUCAGGAAAUGUCAGCCAAGCAUAACCCAGUGAAAAAUGAACAUUAUGUUUGCCUUGGCUUCUCAGACUCAUGAUGAUUCCAGAGUGUGGGCAGAACAAAACAGAGAGGCCCAGACAAACAACCUGGCCUGAAAAUUGGGCACUGUCUGAAGCCAGUUUGUGUGUACUGGGAAUCAAACCUGUAUGCUGGGCUUUGCCAAGUCUGGUGCUUUUCCUUCACUUUCCCAAGCCCAUGGAAGCCACAUCAAUAUAUACAUUUUCGAGAAAGAUAUUUAAGAUCUUCCAAAGUUUCAGGCUAUAUCCUUCCUCACCUUCCUUCACACCAGUUGCAUUGAAACAACUAUUAUAAACUGCAUUGUAAAGGUUUCACAGACUUCACCAUCUUUGGGCUGUUUUAUAGCUGGCACUGUAGCGUCCU